GGCUCGUUAGCUCAGCGGUUAGAGCACCUAUUUAAAAUUGAGGAGGUCGAGGGUUCAAAUCCCUCACGAGCCG